ACAAGUACAAUUUUGGCAAAGACUGAGCAAAGGCGAACUCGAAAAGAAAUCAGUAAAACUUUAGCAGCAGUGAACGUGUACAAUAGAAAGUCCACACGCAAGUCAACAUUAUUCAUCCAACCACCUACAAAUUGAAACUACUUAUUUGCAAGCCUAUACAUGCAAUAGUUUUGAUAUUCGAUUUAAAGCCUGCCCAAACAAAAUACAUCAAAAGCAUACGAGUGAUGACUACGGUCCAGCACAUGUUAUUUGUUCUUCUUCUGCAAUUUGCGUGUUUGGACUCGUUUGAUGCAAAACAAUCGAUACGUUCGAUGAAGCAUACGAAUGGCUCUCACCCAUGCCCUCAACCAACCGUGGGAAACUGUUCCUGUGAGUGGACUGGACCCUACCUCAAGGUCAUGUGUGUUGGGCUCAACACCGUGCCAGAGAAAGUACCAGAGAGCGCAAUAUAUAUCUAAAACAUAAGAAACAAGUGUCAUAAUUGAACUUCAAUUGCAGAACAUUUUKCAACGGWACCAUCAAAGAAAUUCCCCAGRACUUUUUUCUAUCCUUCAAGAACCUCAUUACUCUAAACCUCAAGAUCAACAAAAUAUCAAACAAGUUUUAUCUUCCAAAAAGUGUGAUCAACUUGUAAGAUAAUUUUAGUCUCUCUUAAAGUGUUAUAUUAUAAACCGCCGGCGAGGGGGUGGGACAGGGUUUGGCAGUGGAUUGAAAAAGCUUACCGUUCCGGCUCCUAAAGAGAUAUUAUCUUUUGUUAUGACACCCAUUACUUCCCCUUCCCAUAACUUUUUCCCCUUCCCAUACUGGUUUUUGCUACUUCAUGAUCAUUUUUGAUCAUUUUUGAUUUGUGAUCCAUGUGAUACCCUCUUCCCGCCAGCUCCUCUGACUUUCCUGUCUUUCCUAGGCUUUUAAAUAGUGCCUGUCCCCGAUUGGUCAAAAAGUCAAAAAGAACGAAUAAAAUAAAGAACUCUAAAUUUUCGCCCCAUGAUUAAC